rnacentral:rRNA from 1 species
CGUGAGUGAUGAAGGUUUUCGGAUCGUAAAACUCUGUUGUUAGGGAAGAACAAGUACCGUUCGAAUAGGGCGGUACCUUGACGGUACCUAACCAGAAAGCCACGGCUAACUACGUGCCAGCAGCCGCGGUAANNNGUAGGUGGCAAGCGUUGUCCGGAAUUAUUGGGCGUAAAGCGCGCGCAGGCGGUCUUUUAAGUCUGAUGUGAAAGCCCCCGGCUCAACCGGGGAGGGUCAUUGGAAACUGGGAGACUUGAGUGCANAAGAGGAGAGUGGAAUUCCACGUGUAGCGGUGAAAUGCGUAAAGAUGUGGAGGAACACCAGUGGCGAANGCGACUCUCUGGUCUGUAACUGACGCUGAGGCGCGAAAGCGUGGGGAAGCGAACAGGAUUAGAUACCCUGGUAGUCCACGCCGCUAAACCAUGAGUGCUAAGUGUUA